rnacentral:lncRNA from 1 species
AUGCUUGUGCUGCUGGCAGAGGUGCUGGGGAGACCCUUUGCUAGAGCAGCUGACUGCAGGUGGGGAGUGAACCUCUGCGAGGUCCCUCCGGCCGCCCUGGGACUUCUGCUCCACGGUGCUUCCACCUCCAGGUGCCGGUGCCCCUGUGCGACCAAACCCACGAGGGAACCAGGCCAGGCUGUCCAUGAGACACAAGCGCUUCUGGAAGGAGAGCAAAAGAAACUGGGUGGAUGGUAUAAUGAAAAAAAAGCUCUGAAGAACAAGGGGAAGCGAAAAGGUAGUUGUGGGCUCGUGUUAGCGAUCCCAAUGAUCCCUGAGGUCUGCUUGAAAUAGAACCCCGUCUGUGCCAGGCUAUUUGGGCCGUGUUGAUCUUCAUGGGAUUUUUCUAGCCUCAGGAAGAACUUGUGACUUCUGAAGGGCAUGAGCAGCCCCCUGCAGGGAAAGGUGUUCUGCCUGCUUGUGCUGCAGGGAGCAGCUGAGCUGUAUUUCAGGCUAUUGCUCUCUGAUCCAGAGGUGGCUGCACUGCACAACAGCAGGUGAAACCACAGCGUGGAGAACAGUGAGGUCAAACUGAAGCCUACGUCGAGGCACUUCUUGCCACGAGACAAAUGGUAUUCCUCACACAACAUGGACAAAAUCUCUUCCAAGGCUUGUGAAGGCUGCCAGCCUUGCACACCUGGAUGAAAGGCAUUAGGAAAACCUCGCUGAUUUUUCAGAUGCGCUGCCUUUUCUGGGACUCGCUCUCAUGCUGAAGGCACUCUGAGACUCUCUUCCAGUGGUGUGCAUUUAAUUGGCUUCACAGGCAGACACCUCAUGCGAUGCAGUCUGUCUUGCUGGCGGCCGGUGACAUAUUUUGCCAUUGUUCUUUUUAAUUUGGCAGAUCAGUGUCUGCAUGCGGUGCCCAGCAUGGCCAAAGCCAAGGCACUGAGACACCUUGGUCUCUGGAAGAGAAACUUCCUCCAGGAGCAGGGGCAGCACUUGCAGCCUUGUGCUAAUUACAAAACGACUUCUCUGUGUGUGUGCAGAAAUGGAAAAAUAUGCCUAGAAAGGUAACAGGGAUUAACAACAUUGACUACAAGAAGAUGAUGCAUUGGAUGAGCCCAAAGUCAACGUGAUUACACUCUGCACUGCACCAGCAACUACAUCCGUAGGAUGAGGCCCAGCUCUCACUGGAUUCAUCCCUGCACCUUGGUGGCCCUCUCCCCCUUAUGGGGGCAAACUGUGGCCCAAAAUUACCUUCCAAUGUUAGGCAGCAGCUGGCCUGGAGGAAGGUACAGCUCCUCGGCAGGCCUCCUGUCCUAGGAACCAGUUGCUUCUAGCCUAGAGAUUAUUGGGCCCCGGGUUUUGACCUGAUUCCCCUUUUCUUUUUUAUUUUACUUUUUUUUAAUUUCAUCUGACUGCCGGUUACAAAGGUGAAAAACCCAUCUGCUGACAUUACUACAGAAAGAUUCAGAGAUUCUUCUUGGUUUCCAGGGAAUACUGAAAUCCUCAGUGCAGGGUAUAGUCAGCUGGUGAGAGAGGGAGAGGGAGAGCUACUCAGCUGCCCUGUGGGAUCUGCAGUCUUCAGCUAAUAACCAAAGUAGGAUAUAACAAUGGAAUUAAUUUUAAAUUGCCUAAACAAUCAAAGGGCCAUUACUUCUUUUAAUUACAAGAAAGCUGGAGGAAUUAAAUAUGAUUUAAUUUCAAUAAAAUUUCAAGCUACCCAACUAUGAUUUUUAUU